ACAUGCAAGUCGAACGGGGUAGAGAGCUUCGGUUUUCGUUACUUAGUGGCGAACGGGUGAGUAACGCGUGAGAAACCUGCCUUUCAGUGGGGGACAACAGUUGGAAACGACUGCUAAUACCGCAUAAUGUUAUUUGGGGGCAUCCCUGAAUAACCAAAGCUUUAUGUGCUGAAAGAUGGUCUCGCGUCUGAUUAGCUAGUUGGUGAGGUAACGGCCCACCAAGGCGACGAUCAGUAGCCGGACUGAGAGGUUGACCGGCCACAUUGGGACUGAGAUACGGCCCAGACUCCUACGGGAGGCAGCAGUGGGGAAUAUUGCACAAUGGGCGCAAGCCUGAUGCAGCAACGCCGCGUGAGGGAAGACGGUUUUCGGAUUGUAAACCUCUGUCUUUGGUGACGAAGAAGUGACGGUAGCCAAGGAGGAAGCCACGGCUAACUACGUG
rnacentral:rRNA from 1 species